ensembl:antisense Gm11508 predicted gene 11508
GAAGGGCGGUCCCCCGCGGCGGUUCUUCAGGUCGAUGUCGCGGAUGGCGCCGUAUUUGUAAAACACGUCCUCGAUGUCCUUGGUUCGGAUAUCCGGAGGUACCUCAGAAUCCUUCCACUCAUCUGUUAUCAGCUGGGAGCUGGUGACCUUCUGGAGUCAGCCUCUGUUGGAGGCAGAUGCAUUGUUCCGGUGGCUGCAGAUGGGGAGUCCUUCAGGCUCAAAAGUAGAAAUCUCUGGUAGAUUUUUUUGGCUUUGAGACAAGCAAGUGGACGCAGAGGAUCUCUUGCAGGGAGAGGUGGUGUUACCCGCUGCGUGGUGGCCAUAUGUGGUCAUUCAUAGUUCUCUACCACAAGUCUCCCGGUGUAUGUCACUUAUUUUCACGUAGCCUAUAACAAAUGUUAAGCCAUCAGACUCUCAGAAUAAAGAGCAAAUACGUAGAA